rnacentral:lncRNA from 1 species
UGUUGUUCUCGUUGUUAUUUUUCACAUUUCGGUGUAUGAAGAAGCUAUUACUUCUUCAGCCAUGACUCCCGGACCCCUUCCUUUCCUGGGUGGAAUGAAUGGAUCCUUCCUGUGGAUUUUGGUGGCUAUUUAUUUAUUUAUUUUUGGUACUGGGGAUUGAACUUCGGACCUUGCACUUGCGAGGCAGGUGGAGGAACCACUGAGCUAAAUCCCCAGCCCUGGCGCUUUGGCUGUUCCCUUCCGGAAGCUCUGCUUUUCGCCUGCCUUGGGCUUUGUCUCCUGGCUUUCGGUGCAGAUUCCUCAGCUUCCAGCACUGACCUUUCGGCUGCCGCAGACUGACUUCUAGAGCUGACCCUUCGACCUCCGGCACAGGCCCCUCUGUCUUCUGUCACGGAUCCUUCGGCCUCCUGAUGCAGACUCGUUGCCACGGGACAUUGCUGCGGACUCCCGGCCUUUGGCUGGACCCCUGGGAUCUGUAGCGCCUGGACGAUCUUUGGCUCGCUUCUACUUUUGACCCUGGACGGCUGUUGUAGGCGAGUCUCGUGGGUUUCCGUGUCCGGCAUUAAAUCUGAUGCAGAGCAUGUGCAGUCUUUUCAGGAGCCUCGCCCCAGCCCUGCAAGCUCUGAACCAAUUAGCUUGAUGUUGAGUGAAAUAGUAGGCACCAGCAGAUGAAAAGGCCGGUCCAGGGUGACAACGAGAACCCCAGGGAGCGGUGAACCCAGCACAUGCCACACAGCUAUGAGGACAGAGAUGGAUCUGAACUCCUGACUCUUGAACUCAGAAAUUCCCCUCCUUUUGCUGCCAGCAGUGCAAAUGUCCCCAGUCUGCUAGGAGGACACCUAUUGGCCACAUCAGG